rnacentral:tRNA from 1 species
GCAUUGGUGGUUCAAUGGCAGAAUUCUUGCCUUCCAUGGAGGAGACCCAGGUUCAAUUCCCUGCCAGUGCA